GAGUCCUCGAACUAAUUCUUCCCUUGCUGCCUCGGACCACCGGCGUGCCCCACCAUGUCAGACAGGGCAGGGGACACCAGCUCCGAGAUCACCACCAAGGAACUGACGGAGAAGAAGGAAGUUGUGGAAGAGGCAGAUAAUGGAAGAGCUGCACCUGCCAAUGGGAAUGUUCAAAAUGAGGAAAAUGGGGAGCAGGAGGCUGACAGUGAGGCAGAUGAAGAAGAGGAAGAAGGUGGGGAGGAAGAGGAGGAGGAGAAAGAAGAAGGUGACGGUGAGGAAAAGGAUGGAGAUGAAGAUGAGGAAGCUGAGGCACCUACGGGCAAGUGGGUAGUUGAGGGUGAUGAGGAUGACGAUGUCGACACCAAGAAGCAGAAGACGGAGGAGGAUGACUAG